rnacentral:rRNA from 1 species
ACAGGGGGUGCAAGCGUUAAUCGGAAUUACUGGGCGUAAAGCGCGCGUAGGUGGUUAGUUAAGUUGGAUGUGAAAUCCCCGGGCUCAACCUGGGAACUGCAUUCAAAACUGACUGACUAGAGUAUGGUAGAGGGUGGUGGAAUUUCCUGUGUAGCGGUGAAAUGCGUAGAUAUAGGAAGGAACACCAGUGGCGAAGGCGACCACCUGGACUGAUACUGACACUGAGGUGCGAAAGCGUGGGGAGCAAACAG